GAUAAACGCUGGCGGCGCACAUAAGACAUGCAAGUCGAACGGACUUAACCAUUAGUUUACUAUCGGAGCGGUUAGUGGCGGACUGGUGAGUAACGCGUAAGCAAUCUGCCUAUCAGAGGGGAAUAACAGUGAGAAAUCACUGCUAAUACCGCAUAAGCUGUGAGUAUCACAUGAUACAAAUAGAAAAGGAGCAAUCCGCUGAUAGAUGAGCUUGCGUCUGAUUAGUUAGUUGGUGAGGUAACGGCCCACCAAGACGAUGAUCAGUAGCCGACCUGAGAGGGUGACCGGCCACAUUGGGACUGAGACACGGCCCAA
rnacentral:rRNA from 1 species